rnacentral:lncRNA from 1 species
GCCUAGCAAGGAGAAGCCGAUAUGCUCUUUCGAGUCUCGUCGCAAUCUCGUCUAGUUUUCUGGCACGACGCCGUUCGUGCUUUAUAAAGGGGAAUAUCUUCAGUCCGCAAUUUGUUAUUGAUGUGAUAGUGCCGCCGCCACACAACAGAACCUCAAUUAUGCCCAUCCUGCAAAUCAAUAACAGCAAAUUUUGGAUGUCACAGAAUAAAAUUGGCAAUUUAAAAUGAUUGAAAUUUAAUCAAUUAAAAAAAUGAUAGACGUUAAUGGUAAAAGGCUUUUAGCCCUUAAAAUAUUGACCGUACUUAAAAACUUUUUCAGAUGGAACUUUAUUUAACCUCAUACAAGGAAGGAAAAUUUAUUAUUAUUAUUAUUAUUUUAUUAAUCAAUGUGAUUUAAUAAAAAUAAUUAAUUAGUCUUUUCUUUUUAUAAACAUAAUUAAUUAGUCUUUUAUUUUUAUAAACAUAUUGAAUAAUCUUUAUCUUUUUUAUUUUUAAUUAUUUAGUUUCUUAUUAAUUAUAUAAACUAAAUACUUAUUAUUAUGCAAUAAUUAAAUAAUAAUUAUUUUGAAAUUUCAAGAAAUUAAAUAAUUGUAUUUUUUAUAUUACUAGACUAAAUAAGUGUAUUUUAAAAUUAUAAAUACCAAUUAAAAGUAAAGAUAUUUAGUUAUUUUAUGUAUUACUAAUAUAUUAAGUGAUGAAAUAUCUAAAUAUUUAACCAUUUGAAAUUGAAAAUUAUUAUAGUUAAUAAUUUUUUUAAAAAAUAACUAUUAAGUGUUUUUUUUAAAUAGAUAGAUUAAAUAAUUAAUUUACUAAAAUAUAAAAACUAAAUAGUUACUACUUAUAUCUCAUUUAAGUUUUAUUCACUCAAAUUAAUAAAACUAAUCAAUAGCUUUAAUUUUUAAAAAACUUUAUAAUAAUUUAUAUAAAAUAUCCUUUAAAUAGUCAUACUUUUUUCACAUGUUAUUAUUAAAUAACUUAAAAAUUAGUAAGAGUAUAUAUAGAAUAUAAAAAUUAAUAUUAUGUUGAAAUUCUCAAAAUAACAGAUAAUUUAAGACUAAAAGGUUCUAUAAAACGAUACUAAUUAUGAUACAAGAGGUAAUAAUUUUUUUAAAAUAAAGCAAAUCAAUCUUUUUUAUUCUAAAAUUUAUCAAAUAUUCUCUUUUAAAGACAUAUAAACCCUUUAAUAAUUUUUAAAAUGCGAUAAAUAAACGCUUUAGUUUUUAAAGAUAUAUAAAUAUAAAGAUGCUAGAGUAUAACUUGUUUCUUAUUCAAUCCGGUCAAAACCUUGAACAAAAACUUUAUAGUAUAUAAGUUAUUAUGUGUAUCUAAGUUACAAUGUUAUGAUAUAAUAUUUGGUAUUAUUUAGACCAAAUAAAUAAGUUGUUCUUCAUUAAAUAUUUCAAAAGUCUUCUUCGUAGAUUCAGUAUUAUCAUUAUAAUUAAGUUUAUUGAUUUAAAAAAAUAACAAUUUUAUGAUUUUUUAUAUUUAUAAUUAAAUUUUUAAUUUUAAAUUAAAAAAUUAUAGUUGUAGUAAUUUUUAAAUUAAUUUUAAUCAAAUUUAAAUUAAUUUACACGAUAGACUAUAUGUCAUUAUUUUUAUUACAUAAGCAACUUGAUUAAUUGGAAUUAAACCUUAAUAACAUUCUAAACUCUUAAUUUUACAAAAAUUUUUAAAUUAUAUAAUUAAAAUACUUAAUUCUAUUGUAUUUAAAUAAAAAUUUUAAUUGAAAAUUUUAGAUAAUUAGUGAUUUUUAAGAUUUUAAUCAAAAUUUAAUUUAAAUUAAUCAAGCUAUUUAUAUAGUAAAAAUAAUGACACAUCAUCAUGUGAGCUAAUUUAAAUAUGAUUAAAAUUAAUUUAAAAAAUUGUUACAAUUACAAUAAAUUUAAAAAUUAAAACUUUUUAAUCUAAAAUUUAAAAAUUUAGACUAUAAAUAUGAAAACUCAUACUUUAUAAUUAUCAUAAUUAAUUUAAUAUAAUUUAAUAAAAUGUAAUUUUGAUUAUUCUAUUAAAAGAUGUACAGAUAAUUUGUUGAGAGAUGUAUAGACAAUUUAAACUCAUAAAUGUUACCGGAUAAUAUUAGUUACAUAAGUGGAAUAUGAAAAAUAUAUACGAAUUAAAAAACAAGGGUUUAUUGACAUUUUUUUAAAUUUUUUUAAAAUGAAAAUUGAGAAAUAAAAUAUGAAAUUUUUCAGAUUUAUUCCGAUACAUUUGCUACUAGAUUUAACCUGUUGGUAAAUACUAUUGACAUAUUUUUAAAAUUUAAAAAAAUUUAUUAACCUAUGUAUGGAAUUUGAAGGGUUUACAUAUUUUUAAAGUGCAUAUUUAACUUUUUUUUUUAAAUUUAAAGAAUUUAUUUGAUAUAUUUGAAUAGUUAAGGUUUUAUUUAGAAGAUACUCGUUUUAUUCUAUAAUUUUUAUUAAUUUUUUUAAUUAUUUUAAAAUUAUUAUUUAUUUUUAUUUUUUAAAAAUUUAUAAUAAUAUAUAAAUUUACUAUAUAAUUUAUUUUAUUUUAUUUUAUUUUUAAAAUAUUUUUUAAUAUUUAAUAAAAUUUAAUAUAUUUAAUAUGAGUAUAAUUUAAAAAAAUAAAAAAAAAUAUAUUUCUUAAUAUAUGUGAAAAAAUAAAAGAAAUAAUAAUUGUGGGAUGAGUAUUAAUCGGCUUAUGUAACUAUCGGACCAUAAUUUAAGAGCUACAUAUGCUUUUUUCCAAUAUUAAUUUAUACAUGAACUUUCAAAAUCUUGUUAAACCUAAAUUGAUGUUUUGGUUAAAUAAGGCCAUAAACUUUGUAUUAAAUCAAGUUGAGCUAAUUUUGGGGGAAAAUUACAAUGUUUUGAAAAUAAAGUAAUUUCUUUAAUUAUUUAAAAUAAAAUAAUUCUAUGAGUUUUUUUUUUUAAACAUAAUUCUAUGAGUUUUUACAUUCAUAUAAGUACUUAAAAUUAGAAUUGGAAUAAAAAAUGAACAAAAAAUUGAGCUUCAAAUUCUCUUUUGUAAUGUCGUUAAAUAUAAUCUGAUAUAAAUUUCUCUAAUUUUUUAAAAUAUAAAAUUUUAAUUGAAAAUUAAUUAAAUUUUCUUAGAAUUUUAUAUUUAUUUUAAAAAAUAAUUAGUUUAAAUAAAUUAAAAAUUUUGCUUAAUUUAAGCAGUAAGACUUUUUUGAAGAUUUUAAAAUCUUCAAAACAUCUUACCUCCCUUAAAAACAUUUGUUUCAAAUAAAUUCGUUACUCUAAAAUUCAUAUUUAAUCUCUAUAUCUUCAUCCCAAACAUAGUAAAAUGACGAAAGGUUUUUGAGCAAAAUAAGAAUACUCUCAAAAAGACUUCGAAAUGUUUAGAAAAUACACUUCAAAAAUUUUUUAAAAAUAUUUUUUAGUCCUUUAUUUUAACAAAAUUAACAGCUUAAUCUUUUUAUUUUAGAAAGUCUUGUUUUUGUUUUAUUUACUCUUUAAUUUGGACAUUGGAGAUGUCCAUUUGAAUUUCAUUCAAUCUUUAUUAUUUGAAAAAUACAACUGUAUAUUCAAGUGCAAAGAUAAAUUCUCUCUUGAGAAUUCAUUAACUAGGAGAAAAACUUGAUUUCAACUAGAGGGAUGGACAAAAGACUAGACAGAACAAAGAUAUAUGGACUAGUUAAUUUAUUUUCAAAAUAGGAGGACCAAAUAAUUAAUUUUAUUAAAGUAGAAGGAUUAAACAGUAAUUUUUUAUUACAGACCUUGACCUAGUCAUUACCUAGCACUUCCGAGUAAAGAGCAAGUACAUUUUUCGUUCUAAAAAAAAGAAAAGAAAAGAAAAAUACACUUUUCAAUUAGUGUGUUUUCUUUUCAAUAUUACAUUAAUUUAAAUUAUAUUGUAUUAAUAUAAAAGAUUCCUAAAUAUUAAGAUGUGACUUCAAAAAUAAGAAAUUGAGUUUUAUUGAUUAAUGACUUAGGUAAUUAAUUGUAUUAAUAAUUUAUCCUAUUAAUAGUUUAACUUAUUUAUUAAAUUAUAUAAUUCUUUUGUCUUUGAUCGGGCACCCCACUGUGCUUUUCCUUAGUUUAUGGCUGUUUUUUCAACAGUAUCUCAUAAAAAAUCCAACGUAAAUUCUCUAUGUUGCAGCAUAAUAGAUUUUAUCACUAUACACGGUACUUGUUAAUUUAUAAUAUUUAUAUCAUAAAAGUAUAAAAAAAUAUAUUAUCAUGUUUUAAUUGUUUCCUGCUUCAAAAGGUCCAUAAAAUAUAAUUAAAAAAAGUCUUUCAAUCUACUAUCUUAAUGUGUUGAAAGAAAAAGCUUUAUCUAAAGAAAAAUACGACCUCCUAAAUGUAUGCAUUAGAUUAAAAUUCUCUUUUUUUAUCUUCAUAAACUUUCCCCUAAAAUUCGUGUUAAACAUAAAACGUUAAUUUUUUUUUUUUUUUUUAUCAUGUUUCCAAGUAAAAGUGGUUGAAUUUAUAAUAACGGAACUUGCGUAAGGCAAUAAAUUUUAGAAGUGGUUGAAAGAUGAACUUUUGUUUUAACCUCUUAUUUUUUUUAAAAUAUAAUUUUAUCACAGGCACCCUUUAAAAUAUUAACAAUUUCAGCGAAUAAUGUGUGAAUAUUUUUAUUAAGAUGCAAUUUUUAUUAAAAAUAUAAUAGUUCCUCCAUCCAUAAUUUUUUUCCACAUAUUAAAAAAAUAACUUCUUUUAUUAAUUUUUCAAUUAUAUCUCUCUUAAAAAUAUUAAAUUUUAUUAAAUAUUAAAUAAUAUUUUAAUAAUAAAUGAGAAUAAAUUUUUAAAAUAAAAUUAAAUUAAAUACGAUUACAAUAAUUAAUUUAUAUAUUAACUAUAUAUAUAUAUAAAAUAAAUAAUAAUUUUGAAAUAAUAAAAAUUAUGAGAGAAUGUAAAUAUAUUUUUAUUGUUUUAAUCAAAAUAUAUAUAUAUAAUUAUUUUGUUUUCGAGCAGAUGCAAAAGUUCAUUCAUGAAUCAGACUUAGAUUUUUCAAUUUUCUUAAAAGUUUAAAUAUACUUUAAUCAUCAAUAUGUCAAAAUAUUAAAAUUGGUAAAUGUAAUUGAUAAAAUAAAUAAAUCCUUAAAUAUUAAUAAAAUUAUAAAAUUAAACUUGUAUAUUAAACCCCAGUCUUUAUUUAUUAGUAAUAGUAAUUAUUAUUAUAUGAAACCAUUUAAAUUUAUAUAUUUUAUAUCUAAUUAAUUAAUAAUAUAAAUUAAUUUUUAUAUAAAUUGAGUAUAUAUUAACUCAUACCGUAAAUAUAUAAUAUUUCAUGUAAUUUCAUUAUAUAUUUAUAUUACAAAUUUAUAUAAAUAUGAUAUAUAAAAUUUUUUUUAGUCAUAUAUUUUUAUGUAAAAAAACAUAAUUUAUUAUAAAUAUUAAUUAAUAAACUCAAAUUAUUUUAAAUUUAAUUAAAAUUAAAUUGCAUUGAAUAAUGAAAUAAUAAUGAAAUAUUGAAAUUGUUUUCCUUAAAAAAGUUACCUAUCAGUUACCAUCCCUACUCUAUGACAUGGUCUGAGGCCCAAAGGAUUUAUAUUUAGUUCUUAAGCGGUGUGUAUAUCUAUAUCUGAAAAAAAAAAAAAAGUAGAAAAAGAAAAAGGAAAAGAACAUGGAAGCUCAAACCAUUUUGAAACAUACCUGAAUAUGAAUAGGAACUUUCUUUCCCGUCAGGCGAAGCGAUCGUGAUCCUAAUCGAUCGGUAUGAAACAGGAGUAAUUUCUUCCUGCGAAACCAAUACAUGAUCACGAGGAUACAUAGCAGCCAAGAAACAUAGAGAAUUGAAAAUCACAACAACAAGGCUCGUUAAUUUCGAUAAAUAAACAAAUUUUUUGUAAAAGGCUGAAAUGCAACUUAAAAUAAAAAAGAAAUGGCCUUUUAAUAAUUUUUGUAAAAAAAGUGAUUCAGUGGGAAAGAAAAAAAAAAGUUAAAAACAAAAUCUCACAGGCGUCUUUUCGGUUUUUGAACAGCAUACAGCAAAGUCGUUGAGUCAACGCCUGGGCUACACCAAGUCAAAGCACAACGAAAUUUCCUGUGAUCUCGAGAAUUAAAAGACUUCAAAUGCACAUCACCUGUUUGAUUAUUACCUUAAACAAAAUUUGAAUACAAACUUCCGAUCAGAAUAUAGGAGGAUAUAACAUAUUGUUCAGCAACUAUAUGAAAGAAGAUCAUUUUCUACUCAACCAAGCAAACCUGCAUAUAUGUACCUGCAAAAAGCAAGUUGAAAAAGGAAAAUUACAGAAGUUUUCCCCCAGCCAUCAACCAGAGAGAGAGAGAGAGAGAGAGAGAGAGGGAUAGAUGAUUCUUCGUACGUGACUGCUAAAGCAACCGGCGAGGAACUGCGACUCCGAGUCACUGACGACUCCAGGCCAAAUGGAAGUCGGCUCGGUGAGCUUUCUUAUAUAUAUUAUUAAUUGGAAUCUUUAAGCAAAGUGUUUUAAUUAAACAGAAACCUGUUGCUCCCUGGCUUCUGAUAAAUGGAUUUGUAAUGCGCAACUCGUCUGCACAUGCCGAAUGUCUGGCUGCUUGUGGGCCUCAACGUUGAAGAAAUAGCUUAGAACUUCCAUUUUAGAAAAAAAAUAAUAAAAAAAGAAAAUUGUAAACAAUGAGAACUACCGGUGCCAGGUG